GCAUCAAUUUUGAGACCUCAUAUUGUAUUGAAGAGAUCUGUUUACCUGAAAGUCAUGUUCAAUGGCAUCACACUGAGGCUC
ensembl:snoRNA SNORD115 Small nucleolar RNA SNORD115